rnacentral:tRNA from 1 species
GUGGGUGUAGCUCAGUGGUAGAGUAUGUGCUUAGCAUGCAUGAGGUCCUGGGUUCAAUCCCCAGUACUUCCA